CACACACACACACACACACACACACACACACACACACACACAGAGGAGAAGUGAGUCUGGACAGAUCAACAUGGUUCAGCUCUGCACCAACCCGCAGCUUCCUGUUCCUGCAGCGAUCUGAUUGGAGCUUUCAGGUUCUGAACCAGGAGCACAGGCCCCCCUCUGCCCCCCCUCCAGGUGAGCUCAGGUGUGUCCUUCAGCCAGUAACUUCAGGUGUUGAACUUGUUGUUCUGACCCAGAUAACGGGCCUCUUAGGCAAUGUCCCUGACUUCCCAGAAUGCACCCUGCUGCGGCAGAUUAACCCCCCAGGAAUAGUUCCUGCCCCCCAGGCAGAUUACCUGCAGCAGCUCAGUCUGGACUUGGCUCUCUAGUCAGUCCGAGUCGCUGACGGACUGGACUCGGACUGUGGCGGGUUUCCGUGACCGGUCCGGUUCAUAAGCAAACAUGGCGGUAAAUCUGAUUAACAUGGCAGCGUGCCGGGUCACCUGGUGCCGGUUCGGUCCAGGUGUUCUGACGAUCAUCUUGUUUUAAAACGGAGGAUUAGGAACACGGCUGAUCUUCCAUGAACCCGUCCACGGGUUAAAGACUGCGGCUGGAGGAGGCGGGCAACCGGUUACCAUGGCAACAGAGCGUCAGGCCCAGAUCGAUGGUUCUGUUCUGGUUCCAGUUGGGUUUUGGUUCUUUUCAUGUGUCCUGUCCAAGAAGCCAGGCAGGAUCGUCUCACUCCGACUCCCUGAAAACUUCCCAGAAUGCAGCAGAGGACGAACUGGAGCGGCACGCCGCAGUUAGCAUGUUAGCUGAUGAAGGCUGGCUUCGAGUCUUCAUCACUGAAGGCUUUCAUCCACAACUUUCACCUUCAGAAGCAGGACCAGCUGAAAACAGAGGCUGCCUGUUAGCAUGCUAACAGCUAUCAUUAGCAUGCCACGCUAACUUUAAAGCAGUUUUUUAUGUUCAUGUGUUCCUUUGCCAGCAUAAAGGACGAGUUUUAAAGUUCGUUCUGUGAAGAAUGAAAUCCAAUUAAUAACCUCGCCUUGUUAGCUUAACAUGCCAAGACUAAUGUAAUGCUAACUUUAACAUGCUAAGGCUACCUUCAGGAUGUUAAUGACUCUGAAGGUUAUAGUUAUAUAAUAAGUUUCUUUCUUUCUAAUGUUUCCUUUGAUGCUGUGAAGCAUGUUAAACUGCUAUGCUAUCCCAUGCUAUCUGAUGCUAUCUGAUGCUAUUUGAUGCUAACCAGAUGAACUCGUCUCGUAUCAAUUCAACGUCACACACCAACUGCCGAGCCUGUUUUAGCAGGAAAGGAGAUCCGACGGUUUGAACGAGAAACGGUGCAACUUCCAUGAAAGAAAAGCUUCAAAUAAGCUAACAGGCGGGUUUGGUGAGUCUUGGGUCCUGAAACCAGACAGCGGCCAUGAUGAGCUGCAGCUGAUUAUCUACUUGAUUUGACUGACAUUUACUUCCAUAACCCUCUCAUUCAACAUUACAGAACAAAUCAACAGAUGUCGUUCAUUUUCCCUAAAAGGUUUCAUGGAUGAUGAUCUUUGAGUUUCUGAAUGUUUGCCUCCAUCUGUUGCUACAGCAGUAGCAUGCUAAUGCUAAUCCUUAAUGUUAGUCUGUCAGGAUUAUUUUGUGAAGGUUUUUGCUCUAGUAAACGGCUUUGAACAGAUUUCUGAAUGAAUGGUACAAUACGGUGGUGGACACAGAUAGCUAAAAGGUUAGCUGCUCUAACCCUAAUGCACUAAUAAACUUUAGUUUAGCUAAUGCUGGACUAAUGCCAUGGCAUUUAACAGGGGCUAAAGCUAAAGCACAGACCAGCAUGGUAUUUAGCAGGAGCUAAUGCUAAAGUACUGAAUCCAAUCAUGUUGAAAUCCAGCAUGAUGAGCAGAACAUGAAGAAACUCAAACCUAUUCAUAUGUGAGCUACUGUAUUUAUCUGAAUAACAUCCUGGUUAUGUGUUCAUGUGUUUUUCUUUUAUUGUGUCUUUUUAUUGUCAAUUGCUAAAUAAAGUUUCUUGUAAAAAAGGGAACGCAACAACAGGAAGUGGAACUGCUGCAUCUAAAACUACUUCAAAAUAAGAGUUGAGUAUAAAGGUCUAACUACCCAACAGUUGAUAACCAAACCUUCAACACAGAUGUUGACCUUUAUUCAGAUGAAAUUGGACAAAACUGAAGGAAAUUUGCACUUUAGACUUUGUUACCAAAAAUGCUGAAGCACUAAAUGAAAAUCUGGUAACUAAACCUGCUAACAUUAGCCUGCUAAGGCUAACAGCCAUUAGCCUGAGAUGUUCAGGGUGUUCCAGUGGCCUGAAGCCUGAAGCUAAUUUAUAGCCACUGUUAAUAAAUCUAUAAUGGUUUUAUGUAAAUAUAUCAAAUAGUGUUGAGCAGCUUGAGCUCUGUGGAAACCACAGCAGAUCAGCUCAUAGCCGCCCUUAUAAAAAAUCCCAUCAAAGUCACAUGAGAUCACAUGAAAACCACACAUGUGGUUCACACAACGUUUUACAUGAGAUUCCCAUGUGAUCACAUGGGAAUCACGUGAUACACACAUUUCCACAUGUGGAAAUAUGUGAUAUACAUAUAUACAAUUAUAAAAUAAUGGGACCACCUUUUUUACCAUGAAAAUGUCCAGUUUCUUCAUAUUAUUCACUUUUCAUGAUGAAUAUGAGGUCACAUGUCAAUCUCAUAUGAUUUUCUAAGACAUAACUGCAAACUAAAGUAAACUUGUAGCUAUGAAUCAAGACUUCCUAGACAAGUAUAUAUGUACACAAAACAACAAUUUAUUUACUUCUGUUUGAAACUGUUGAGAACCAGAAACAACUUUUAACAUCUGAGCAUGACAUCAUACAGGUUUACGUCCAAAUUAGACCCAGACAAUAAACAUGUGGAAACCAGAAACGGGUUUAAUACCAUCAGUGCCGGUCCAGAGAGGGAAAACAGAACCUCAGGUAAAACCUGACUGGUCCUUCACGUUGUUUCAGGAGAAACUGUAGCAUUCAACUGUGAGCUCUCUGAGUCUCCUUAAUGUCUUUAAGGGUGGUUAGAACACACACACACACACACACACACACACACACACACAUGUUGGCAUUGGUGGCUUGUAUAGGGGUCUUCUUAUAUGUGCCAGUAACCACAGUGCUGUGGGUGCUGAUGCUCAGGUGGGGAGUUUUCCUUCUCCAGUGCUGAAGGUGAUGAGGUCUCUGGGUCCUGAUCUGUUGCCCCAUUCAUUCCUCAUCUGAGCUUCACUGGACCACUGGCCUCCAACAAACUGUAAAAAUUAAUAAAACAAAGCUCCUAUGAUCUGGACUACAUUUUAUUUACACACACCCACAGCAGAGUCCUACUUUUACAUCAGUGUGUAGUUGGCCAGAAUGACUCUGAUCUGCUAAAUAAAGCAGCAUAACGUGACGUUGUUUGGUGAUUAUCCUGUCAGGCUAAAAAACACUUCAGUUGAUAAAACUAUAAUUCUCUUGGCAAUUAAAUGAAAAAUCAUGCAGCGUUAAAAACAGUAACAGGUCAAUUUAUAUUUUUCUACUGGAAGAAUGUCAUCAUAAUAGCAGCUCACACAUCAUGGAGGGAGAAAUGGACAUUUUAUUAUAACGGUCCUCAAUUUUAACUUUGACUGAGUAAACAGCUGCCGUCUGUUGUUCCCUCCAUUAAAAAAUAACCGAGGUAAAGUUUAAGUAGUGAAGCAUCAAAUCCACACUAAUUUGUUUUAGGAGCUGUAGGACUCAGGAUAAAGCCUUCAAACUGUAAAAUGGGCCAGCGUUCAGCUAACGUUUAGCUAGCUUAGCAUGACUUCAGUACUAAGGAAAAGUUCACCGGUACAUCACUAUCAGUACGUGUUACUUUCCAGAUUUAUAUUUCUGUCUAAACAUUUUCGAUACACCUCGAGAUUCAAAUCAAGUAAAACAUUUCUCACCUUUUCUU